rnacentral:rRNA from 1 species
AGUGAACGCUGGCGGCAGGCCUAACACAUGCAAGUCGAGCGGCAGCGCGGGGGCAACCCUCGCGGCGAGCGGCGGACGGGCGAGGAAUUCGUCGGUAUCUGCCUUUCUGUGGGGGAUAACGUAGGGAAACUUACGCUAAUACCGCAUACGUCCUACGGGAGAAAGUGAGGGACCACAAGGCCUCACGCAGUUAGAUGAGUCGACGACGGAUUAGCUAGUUGGUGGGGUAAAGGCCUACCAAGGCGACGAUCGGUAGCUGGUCUGAGAGGAUGAUCAGCCACACUGGAACUGAGACACGGCCCAGACUCCUACGGGAGGCAGCAGUGGGGAAUAUUGGACAAUGGGCGCAAGCCUGAUCCAGCCAUGCCGCGUGUGUGAAGAAGGCCUUCGGGUUGUAAAGCACUUCUGUCCGGAAAGAAAACCCGUGUGCUAAUACCUUCGGGGGAUGACGGUACCUAAAGAAUAAGCACCGGCUAACUUCGUG